rnacentral:rRNA from 1 species
UACGUAGGGAGCAAGCGUUGUUCGGAUUUACUGGGCGUAAAGGGCGCGUAGGCGGCCUGUUAAGUCGAACGUGAAAUCCCCGGGCUCAACCCGGGAACUGCGUCCGAUACUGGCAGGCUUGAAUUCGGGAGAGGGAUGCGGAAUUCCAGGUGUAGCGGUGAAAUGCGUAGAUAUCUGGAGGAAUACCGGUGGCGAAGGCGGCAUCCUGGACCGGCAUUGACGCUGAGGAGCGAAAGCUAGGGGAGCAAACGGGG